rnacentral:rRNA from 1 species
UACGGAGGGAGCUAGCGUUGUUCGGAAUUACUGGGCGUAAAGCGCACGUAGGCGGCUUUGUAAGUUAGAGGUGAAAGCCCGGGGCUCAACCUCGGAACUGCCUUUGAUACUGCAAGUCUCGAGUCCGAUAGAGGUGAGUGGAAUUCCUAGUGUAGAGGUGAAAUUCGUAGAUAUUAGGAAGAACACCAGUGGCGAAGGCGGCUCACUGGAUCGGUACUGACGCUGAGGUGCGAAAGCGUGGGGAGCAAACAGG